rnacentral:rRNA from 1 species
AUACGUAGGGUGCAAGCGUUAAUCGGAAUUACUGGGCGUAAAGCGUGCGCAGGCGGUUUUGUAAGACAGUGGUGAAAUCCCCGGGCUCAACCUGGGAACUGCCAUUGUGACUGCAUCGCUGGAGUGCGGCAGAGGGGGAUGGAAUUCCGCGUGUAGCAGUGAAAUGCGUAGAUAUGCGGAGGAACACCGAUGGCGAAGGCAAUCCCCUGGGCCUGCACUGACGCUCAUGCACGAAAGCGUGGGGAGC